rnacentral:rRNA from 1 species
AUACGGAGGGUCCAAGCGUUAUCCGGAUUCAUUGGGUUUAAAGGGUCCGCAGGCGGGAAAAUAAGUCAGUGGUGAAAUCCUACAGCUCAACUGUAGAACUGCCAUUGAUACUGUUUUUCUUGAGUAUAGAUGAAGUGGGCGGAAUAUAUCAUGUAGCGGUGAAAUGCAUAGAUAUGAUAUAGAACACCGAUUGCGAAGGCAGCUCACUAAACUAUUACUGACGCUCAGGGACGAAAGCGUGGGGAGCAAACAGGAUUAGAAACCCCAGUAGUCC